AGCCGUGGCUUAUUCUUACGGUACCGUCACCCGAAGGCUUCUUCCCGUACUAAAGGAGUUUACAACCCUAAGGCCUUCUUCCCCCACGCGGCGUCGCUGCGUCAGGCUUUCGCCCAUUGCGCAAAAUUCCCCA
rnacentral:rRNA from 1 species